rnacentral:lncRNA from 1 species
ACCAAGAAGCUCAGGCAGAGUCAGGGCCAACCUCGGCCCUUCCUGUGUUUGCUUCUGGGAAGCCCGGCGUGCGUGGGCUCAGACAGCUGCCCUCCUCCUCUCAGCCCUCAGAGCCUGGACCUGGGCAUCUAGGCGGGAGUGGGGAUGGGCCUUUGGCACCAUUCCGGGCCUGGCAGAGGCUCCCAGCCCGAGGGUGAGCCUAAGGAUCCCUCCCCGCCGUGCCUCAGGCGCCCCGCCCACUCCUGCUAAAUGGCUGGGGCCAAGCCCUGAAUCUCCUCCCUACCCGUGGGGAAGGCUGGGCAGGAGCCUUGCUUUUCUCAUCAUAAAAUGGGUAAUAACAGUCCCUCCCUGUAGGAUUGGUGCGGGGAAGAGUGAAUGAGAAGUCAGAACCCUUCCCACAGCUGGGCACAGAGCACAGGUGGAGUGGCUUCAGCCACCCAUCGACUCUCAUGGGGAGUAACUCCGUGCUGAGUGCCCAGGAGCUGACCCUGAUGUCAGAACCUGAAAUAUUGCAGAGUGUAAAAAUCCUCAACAGCCCACUCCCUCGGAGCUGGGGGUCCACACGCACAGGGGCUGCAGUGGGAAGGGGGCGAGGUCUUCCUCAUAGAGAAGGCAACCUUGGAGCAGGGCUGGAAGGAAGCAGGAGAGGCCCCGGGGCAGUGGAGAGAGCAGAGUGGCUAGAGUGGACCGGUUGAGGCCAGAAUGGGACCACACCCCACCUGCUGCUCAAAGAACUCCGGGCUGGUGAUGGCUGUGGAGGAGGUGAGAGGUGGCUGGAUUUUGCAUGUGUUGUCAAUGGACUGUAGUGGGUGUGAGAGAAAGCAGGGCUCAGGGAGCACUGAAGAUCUGGGCCUGAGCCCAUAAGGAAGGAGGCAUGGACAGGAGGAGAGGGAAAGAUGGGAGCCCAGUUGGGGACGGGUUGAGUUUGAGACGAUUUUCGACCCCAGUGGAGAGCCGAAGGGAGCUGGACACAAGGCAGUUCAGCACAGAGGCUCUGGGGCCCUGCAGCAUGGAGACGGUCAUGGGCUGGGCUCCCCCAGAGGGCAGGGAGGCUGGAGGUCGGAUGAGCUGGGGGAACUGGCAGUGGUGAUGGAGGAGGGGCAAAGGACCCAGCACAGCCCAGAGCAGCAGACCAUCGUGGAGGAGGGAAGAAGCCACGAAGGCAACUGUCACUCCAGUGGGAGGCCUGCCAAAGCGGACCACUGGAGGCAGCAGUGUGGGGUCAAUGGGGACCUCAGGGAGAGGGGAGACAGCAGGAGGUUUUUUGUCCUUGCAAUAGUUUGCUCAGAAUGAAGGUUUCCAGCUUCAUCCAUGUACAAAGCACAUGAACUCAUCCUUUUUUAUGGCUGCAUAGUAUUCCAUGGUUUAUAUGUGCCACAUUUUCUUAAUCCAGUCUGUCAUUGAUGGACAUUUGGGUUGGUUCCAAGUCUUUGCUAUUGUAAACAGUGCCGCGAUAAAAAUACGUGUGCAUGUGUCUUUAUAGUAUAGUCCCCUGGGGCCUGCUCCGAGGGCUGGGAGAGAAGGAAAGAGAUGGAAAGAGAGGAGGCUGCAAGGUGAGGCAGCUGCUCAGAGCUCCGCCCUCAAAUAUGUGGGAGUAGCUGUAGGGGAGGGUCAAGAGAACGCAAGAGAAGUAACAGGAUGUGAGCAUGCUCCAUUGCCACCCCCUCAAAAGGGGAUUGUGCAGAGAAACGGGGAGAGAGGAGCACUGGGAGCUUGGUCCAGUGGGUGCCCCCACAGAAGGGGACUGUGCAGAGAAACGGAGAGAGGAACAUUGGGAGCCCUGCCCUUGAGGAGGCAAAAGGUUGGGAUGUGACGCAGGCAGGGAGGAUGACUUGGGUAGGCGAGGACAGGUGGGCAGGCUUGGGGAUGAGAAACUCAGCAUCCUCUAUGAACAGACACUUCUCAAAAGAAGACCUUUAUGCAGCCAACAGACACAUGAGAAAAUGCUCAUCAUCACUGGUCAUCAGAGAAAUGCAAGUCAAAACCACAAUGAGAUACCAUCUCACACCAGUUAGAAUGGCGAUCAUGAAAAAGUCAGGAAACAACAGAUGCUGGAGAGGACGUGGAGAAAUAGGAACACUUUUACACUGUUGGUGGGACUGUAAACUAGUUCAACCAUUGUGGAAGACAUGUGGCGAUUCUUCAAGGAUCUAGAACUAGAAAUACCAUUUGACCCAGCGAUCCCAUUACUGGGUAUAUACCCAAAGGAUUAUAAAUCAUGCUACUAUAAAGACACAUGCACACGUAUGUUUAUCGCGGCACUACCUACAAUAGCAAAGACUUGGAACCAACCCAAAUGUCCAUCAGUGAUAGACUGGAUUAAGAAAAUGUGGCACAUAUAAACCAUGGAAUACUAUGCAGCCAUAAAAAAGGAUGAGUUCAUGUCCUUUGUACAUGGAUGAAGCUGGAAACCAUCAUUCUGAGCAAACUAUCGCAAGGACAGAAAACCAGACACCACAUGUUCUCACUCAUAGGUGGGAAUUGAACAAUGAGAA